CCCUUAGAUGUUCUGGGCUGCACGCGCGCUACACUGAUGCACUCAACGAGUUUACGACCUUGCCCGAUAGGGUUGGGUAAUCUUUUUAAAAUGCAUCGUGAUGGGGAUAGAUUAUUGCAAUUAUUAAUCUUCAACGAGGAAUUCCUAGUAAGCGCGAGUCAUCAGCUCGUGCUGAUUACGUCCCUGCCCUUUGUACACACCGCCCGUCGCCCCUACCGAUUGAGUGCUCAGGUGAAUAAUUCGGACUGCAGCAAUGUUUGGAUCCCGAACGUUGCAGCGGAAAGUUUAGUGAACCUUAUCACUUAGAGGAAGGAGAAGUCGUAACA
rnacentral:rRNA from 1 species